AAAGACCUAAAUUAUCAGUGUGAGCAAGUUCAACCUACGCAUUUCAGCUCCAGUCUCGUAAAGACGUUGUGCUUCCCUGUGAGACAGUCCUGAAGGGGCAGCUCUCAACGAGGACAUAAGGUUUGGGGGCUGGCCAGCCUGAGGUAAACACUUUGCUGACCAGUCACUGCUGUAACUGUCCAGGCAACAGGUCAAGAACCCGGGUCCAUGAAAUCCAGACCACCGAGCAAGAGUCAGACCCACCAGGCUGGAGAGGUGAAUAGUGAUAAAGGAAGACUAGAAUAGAACAUAUUCUCAUGAUAAUAGCUCCCACCCGUCUAUACUUUUUUGGACUUUGCAGAACUCUUUCACAUUAUCUUAUUUAACCCUCACAGGCUCCAGGCAAGAUGGCCAUUAACAUCCCCAGGAAACUGAAGGAAGAAGGGUACAGACUGCACUCAACUACUGGCUUUUUUACUCAGCCAGAGGUGCCUGCACUGCCUUCAUCUGCAAGGACUUGUCUUCCUGCUCUCAUGGCAGCUCUCCUACCAUCAGUCUCUGGAACGCUGAGCAGCUUCUCUCACUCCCAGGCUUGGCUUCUGUUUGUGCCACUGCCAGUCUCAUGGUACGGUCCCAGGAGGAACGGGAAAAGCAUGUGGAUUUUGUGGGCCUGUGGAUUUCUGCAGAGAUAUGAGUGUUGAUUUAUUAUUUUCUCUGUGUGCUGAAAU
rnacentral:lncRNA from 1 species